AAAGGGUCCGUAGGCGGACCGAUAAGUCAGUGGUGAAAUCUCAUAGCUUAACUAUGAAACUGCCAUUGAUACUGUCGGUCUUGAGUAAAUUAGAGGUAGCUGGAAUAAGUAGUGUAGCGGUGAAAUGCAUAGAUAUUACUUAGAACACCAAUUGCGAAGGCAGGUUACCAUGAUUUAACUGACGCUGAGGGACGAAAGCGUGGGUAGCGAACAGGAUUAGAUACCCUGGUAGUCCACGCCGUAAACGAUGCUAACUCGUUUUUGGGGCGCAAGCCUCAGAGACCAAGCGAAAGUGAUAAGUUAGCCACCUGGGGAGUACGUUCGCAAGAAUGAAACUCAAAGGAAUUGACGGGGGCCCGCACAAGCGGUGGAUUAUGUGGUUUAAUUCGAUGAUACGCGAGGAACCUUACCAAGGCUUAAAUGGGAAAUGACAGGCUUAGAAAUAGGCUCUUCUUCGGACAUUUUUCAAGGUGCUGCAUGGUUGUCGUCAGCUCGUGCCGUGAGGUGUUAGGUUAAGUCCUGCAACGAGCGCAACCCCUGUCACUAGUUGCUAACAUUCAGUUGAGGACUCUAGUGAGACUGCCUACGCAAGUAGAGAGGAAGGUGGGGAUGACGUCAAAUCAUCACGGCCCUUACGCCUUGGGCCACACACGUAAUACAAUGGCCGGUACAGAGGGCAGCUACACAGCGAUGUGAUGCGAAUCUCGAAAGCCGGUCUCAGUUCGGAUUGGAGUCUGCAACUCGACUCUAUGAAG
rnacentral:rRNA from 2 species